rnacentral:rRNA from 1 species
AGAGCGAACGCUGGCGGCAGGCCUAAUACAUGCAAGUCGAACGGACCCUUCGGGGUUAGUGGCGGACGGGUGAGUAACACGUGGGAACGUGCCCUUUGGUUCGGAACAACUCAGGGAAACUUGAGCUAAUACCGAAUGUGCCCUUCGGGGGAAAGAUUUAUCGCCAUUGGAGCGGCCCGCGUCUGAUUAGCUAGUUGGUGGGGUAAAGGCUCACCAAGGCUACGAUCAGUAGCUGGUCUGAGAGGAUGAUCAGCCACACUGGGACUGAGACACGGCCCAGACUCCUACGGGAGGCAGCAGUAGGGAAUCUUGCGCAAUGGGCGAAAGCCUGACGCAGCCAUGCCGCGUGAAUGAUGAAGGUCUUAGGAUUGUAAAGUCCUUUCGGCGGGGAAGAUGAUGACGGUACCGCAGAGAAGCCCCGGCUAACUUCGUGCCAGCAGCCGC